AAUUUCCAUGAGCUGCGCACCAGUUCUUGGGAAGCUCUGGUACUCCCCAUACUUGAGGAAGACGGGCGUUAUGAAAGAGACACAAGACACGGCCCCAGGUCAUAAGGAGCUAAGUCCCUGGAGAAAGGACUCAGAAACACUUGCCAAGAAAGCAAGGGAACAAACAGGUUGCAAAAUCGUACACCAAAGGUCAAAGCAUGGAACUAAUCCGGAAAGUGUGAAGAUGGGGGAGGAAGAAUCUGGACUGUGGGGAGGACGUUGUGAACAUUUAGAGGGGAGCACCCACCAGGACUGAGGUACCCAGCCUGACAAAACGCCAUCUCCGUCACCUUGGAAGCAAGGCCUCUAGCUCAGAAGGAAGGGGGCCCUACUGUUAUGGCCGUGUUCGCCGGGAAACACACACACUGCAAGUUCUGUUAUUCCCGGAGCACGGAUGGAUGGAUAAACUCACGAAACUGAGCUCCAAGUGGCCAAUGAGGAAGUAGGAACAUAGGUUCACUUCUUACUUCAUGUUAAUAAACUACCACUCCC
rnacentral:lncRNA from 1 species